rnacentral:rRNA from 1 species
UAGGGAAUUUUUCACAAUGAGCGAAAGCUUGAUGGAGCAAUGCCGCGUGAACGAUGAAGGUCUUUAAGAUUGUAAAGUUCUUUUAUUUGGGAAGAAUGACUUUAGCAGGUAAUGGCUAGAGUUUGACUGUACCAUUUUGAAUAAGUGACGACUAACUAUGUGCCAGCAGUCGCGGUAAUACAUAGGUCGCAAGCGUUAUCCGGAUUUAUUGGGCGUAAAGCAAGCGCAGGCGGAUUGAAAAGUCUGGUGUUAAAGGCAGCUGCUUAACAGUUGUAUGCAUUGGAAACUAUUAAUCUAGAGUGUGGUAGGGAGUUUUGGAAUUUCAUGUGGAGCGGUGAAAUGCGUAGAUAUAUGAAGGAACACCAGUGGCGAAGGCGAAAACUUAGGCCAUUACUGACGCUUAGGCUCGAAAGUGUGGGGAGCAAAUAGGAUUAGAUACCCUAGUAGUCCACACCGUAAACGAUAGAUACUAGCUGUCGGGGCGAUCCCCUCGGUAGUGAAGUUAACACAUUAAGUAUCUCGCCUGGGUAGUACAUUCGCAAGAAUG